UACGUAUGGAGCAAGCGUUAUCCGGAUUUACUGGGUGUAAAGGGUGCGUAGGUGGCCGUGAAAGUCUGAUGUGAAAUACCGGGGCUUAACCCCGGGGCUGCAUUGGAAACUUCAUGGCUGGAGACCGGGAGGGGCAGGCGGAAUUCCUAGUGUAGCGGUGAAAUGCGUAGAUAUUAGGAAGAACACCGGUGGCGAAGGCGGCCUGCUGGACCGGAUCUGACACUGAGGCACGAAAGCGUGGGGAG
rnacentral:rRNA from 1 species